AGAACGAACGCUGGCGGCAGGCUUAACACAUGCAAGUCGAACGCUCCUAGCAAUAGGGGAGUGGCAGACGGGUGAGUAACGCGUGGGAAUCUACCCAGCCCUUCGGAAUAGCUCCGGGAAACUGGAAUUAAUACCGAGUACGCCCUACGGGGGAAAGAUUUAUCGGGGUUGGAUGAGCCCGCGUUGGAUUAGCUAGUUGGUGAGGUAAUGGCCCACCAAGGCGACGAUCCAUAGCUGGUCUGAGAGGAUGAUCAGCCACACUGGGACUGAGACGCGGCCCAGACUCCUACGGGAGGCAGCAGUGGGGAAUAUUGGACAAUGGGCGCAAGCCUGAUCCAGCAAUGCCGCGUGAGUGAUGAAGGCCUUAGGGUUGUAAAGCUCUUUCGCCCGCGACGAUGAUGACGGUAGCGGGAGAAGAAGCCCCGGCUAAUUUCGUGCCAGCAGCCGC
rnacentral:rRNA from 1 species